GUACCGUGAGGGAAGUUGUAGUAGCUGGUUCCUUCCGAUACAAGUACCGUGAGGGAAAGUUGUAGUAGCUGGUUCCUUCCGAUACAAGUACCGUGAGGGAAAGUUGUAGUASCUGGUUCCUUCCGAUACAGGUACCGUGAGGAAAAUUGCGCUGAGACUUGUCCUUCCGAGGAAGGACCCGGUUCAUGAGGCCUCCUUUUGGUUGUACCCUGAACUGGUAUACGACUGUUUGCUCUGCUCGUAAUGUUGGUUCGGCCUCGGGUGAAACUGCCGUUGGCGUUCUCUUGUGGUGGCAACAGCACGCUUUGCCUAACUUGGGGAUUCCGGCUGCGGUGGAGCUCUCGAACUGUCUCUCGGUGUAAAAGCUGGUCAUCUAUCCGACCCGUCUUGAAACACGGACCAAGGAGUUUAGCGUAUGUGCGAGCCAYUGGGUAUUGCAAAACCUAUGGGCACAAUGAAAGUGAAGGCUCGGUCGCCGAGCUUACAUGCGACCGUGCUAGCUUCGGCUGGUGCGGGCAGCAUGGUCCCGUUUCAGUCGCUUGCGACGGAGCGGAGACAGAGWGCAUGCGCUGAGACCCGAAAGAUGGKGAACUAUUCCUGAGSAGGACGAAGCCWGAGGAAACUCUGGUGGGAAGUCCGAAGCGAUUCUGACGKGCRAAUCGAUCGGCUGACUUGGGGUAUAGGGGGCGAAAGACUAAUC
rnacentral:rRNA from 1 species